GAUUAUUCAUUCAUGGGUAUUUAAACUACUUGGGAACAAAAGCAGCUCCAUCUCUCUCAUUUAAGAAAUACUUUUCCAAAAGAAUCACUACCCAAAACUGCUCUAUAGCCAAUGUGAGGAUUAAAAAGUGAACACCUAAAUGAUUCAAGGCUGGGCACAGGAAGCACAUGGCAGGUACAACUGCAGAGAGCUGAAGUCUGGUCUAAGCAAAGCUGGUAUCACGGUGACGAUUCACUUCCGCUGACCUGCAGGUGCUGCUCCUGCUUUUUGACAACAUUGUAGUGGAGCUGGAGGAAUGUGGGCUUUUGAGUUAGAGUUAUGGUUCCUAUGAGUCUUUCAAAUUUAGUUUCCUUAUCUUUAAGAUGUAGAUAAUAAUCCCUACCUUGCAGCAUGUUUGAGGACAUAAGGUGAAGAAUAUUAAGUUCUGUAA